GAGGCUCAGGCUGGGUGAGACUGCCAGCCAGAACACAGAGCAGUGUGACAGGACUCAUGCCCACGCCUUUCACUAGGAAACUUCUGUUUCCUGCUUCUGAGCAACCUCAGCAGAGCUCAGCUAUUCUCCCAUCCCCCACUCCAUCAGGCUCACAUCACAGCUCAGAGCAGUGAAUUUGAAGAAGACAAACUGUAUUUCUGGUUGGUAAAUGCAAGCAUGUCUCUCUUUGGUGUGAUGAAGCUGCUCAUGGCCUCCACAUGGCUGGGAUCCAGUAUUGCCCAGAAGAUAACUCAAGCCCAGCUGCCAGUAUCAGCGGAGGAGAUGGAGGCUGUGAUCCUGCAGUGCACCUAUGACACCAGUGAACCAAGUUACAGUCUCUUCUGGUACAAGCAGCCCAGCAGCGGGGAGAUGGUCUUACUCCUUCGCCAGAACUCUUAUGACACACAGAAUGCAACAGAAGGUCGCUACUCCUCGAAUUUCCAGAAAGCAGGCAAAUCCAUCCACCUUAUCAUCUCGGCUUCACAGCUGGAGGACUCAGCAGUGUAUUUCUGUGCACUGAGAGAGCCACAGUGUAAGGACUGUUGGGGGAGGAGUAUAAAAACCCCCAAAUCUGCCUGA